rnacentral:rRNA from 1 species
UACGUAGGGAGCAAGCGUUGUCCGGAAUCAUUGGGCGUAAAGCGCGCGUAGGUGGCCUCAUAAGUCCGCUGUGAAAGUCAAAGGCUCAACCUUUGAAAGCCGGUGGAUACUGUGAGGCUAGAGUACGGAAGAGGCGAGUGGAAUUCCUGGCGUAGCGGUGGAAUGCGCAGAUAUCAGGAGGAACACCAAUGGCGAAGGCAGCUCGCUGGGACGGUACUGACGCUGAGACGCGAAAGCGUGGGGAGCAAACAGG